CCUACGGGAGGCAGCAGUGAGGAAUAUUGGUCAAUGGACGCAAGUCUGAACCAGCCAUGCCGCGUGCAGGAAGACGGCUCUAUGAGUUGUAAACUGCUUUUGUACGAGGGUAAACGCAGGUACGCGUAUCUUUCUGAAAGUAUCGUACGAAUAAGGAUCGGCUAACUCCGUGCCAGCAGCCGCGGUAAUACGGAGGAUUCAAGCGUUAUCCGGAUUUAUUGGGUUUAAAGGGGGCGUAGGUGGUAGGUUAAGUUAGAUGUGAAAUCCCGCGGCUCAACUUCGGAAUUGCCUUUGAUACUGUUCGGCUAGAGAGGAGUUGAGGUAGGCGGAAGGUAUGGUGUAGCGGUGAAAUGCUUAGAGAUCAUAAAGAACACCGAUUGCGAAGGCAGCCUACCAAGCUACUUCUGACGUUGAGGCACGAAAGCGUGGGGAGCAAACAGGAUUAGAUACCCCAGUAGUC
rnacentral:rRNA from 1 species